UUCUGUAGCAAGGUUAACCGAAUAGGGGAGCCGGAGGGAAACCGAGUCUUAAUUGGGCGUUAAGUUGCAGGGUAUAGACCCGAAACCCGGUGAUCUAGCCAUGGGCAGGUUGAAGGUUGGGUAACACUAACUGGAGGACCGAACCGACUAAUGUUGAAAAAUUAGCGGAUGACCUGUGGCUGGGGGUGAAAGGCCAAUCAAACCGGGAGAUAGCUGGUUCUCCCCGAAAGCUAUUUAGGUAGCGCCUCGUGAAUUCAUCUCCGGGGGUAGAGCACUGUUUCGGCUAGGGGGCCAUCCCGGCUUACCAACCCGAUGCAAACUGCGAAUACCGGAGAAUGUUAUCACGGGAGACACACGGCGGGUGCUAACGUCCGUCGUGAAGAGGGAAACAACCCAGACCGCCAGCUAAGGUCCCAAAGUCAUGGUUAAGUGGGAAACGAUGUGGGAAGGCCCAGACAGCCAGGAUGUUGGCUUAGAAGCAGCCAUCAUUUAAAGAAAGCGUAAUAGCUCACUGGUCGAGUCGGCCUGCGCG
rnacentral:rRNA from 1 species